UGGCACAUACAUGUCAACUCAAAUUAACGUAAGGAAUCUCCAAGAUCCGGAAACCCACGGGCAACACAGGCUAAGAGUAAACAUAUUACAAUGCUCUAACAUCCCGAAGUGUCUAUGCCAAACGAGUAUACGAAAGAAAACUAGUAACUACAGGUAGAAUAGAGGAAUACUCUUCCGCUAUGCGGAUGCAGCACAUGCAUACCUCAAGACUCCAAAGCAACUUCGAAUCCCUAAUAGCGCGCCGGUCCAGAAGUACCUGGAUCUGCACAACAAAAGUGUGCAUAAGAGUAGCAUGAGUACACCACGACGGUACUCAGUAAGUGCGAAGCCUAACCUCAAUGGAGUAGUGACGAGGAAGAUCGAGGCCCCUGUUGAGAUAAAAAUAAAAUAAUAUGAAAUGAAAUAACAGUAGAAAAUACAUAAAUCUCGAAUAUCUAACAACAAUUAGAAGAACGGAAUAGACUAUAUUACAACUCUACAAAAACAAGAAACAAUCGUUACAGGUUAAUUAUCAUCGGGGAUCUCCAAGUACCUAGAGGAUCUCCCAGUAUCCUCAUCAUAGACGCAAGGGAUCUCCAAGUAUCUCGAGGAUCUCUUAGUAUCCUCCAGUAAUCAGUCCUACCCUGGGAUCUCUUAGUAUCCGCCAGAAAGUAAAUUUUGCGCUGGGGAUCUCUUAGUAUCCUCCAGAAAAUAAAAUCUGCACUGGUGAUCUCUUAGUAUCCGCCAGUCAUAUAAUCCAGUGCCGGGGAUCUCUUGGUAUCCCGCACUUCCAAACCUCGAAACCAAAAUACGAAUAUGGGGAGCUCCCGGUAUGCCUUCCCGUAGUCCCAAUAGUAAAUACACCACAACAUACCAAUAUUUUACGGCAAUGAUAAAAUACGAACAGGGGGAGCUACCGGGAUGCCAUCCCGUAGUCCCAAUAGUUAAUAGACCACAAAAAACCAAUAUUAACGGCAAGGAAGCGAAAUGCGAACAACAAAUAAAAUCGAGAAUAUAACAUGCUUCACAAGAAGGACAAAUAUUGCAAUUUAACCAAAUAAGACAAGUAAGUUUCUAACAUGCUUUAGAAAAGAAAACAGAUACUACCAUUUAGAUAAGUUGAUCAAAUAAUUACUAACAUGCUUCUCCUACGUCAAAACAAGUGAAGUAUCAUUGUUAACAAUUAAAUAUGUGAAGAAACACAUUCUAAAUAAACCAAGUAAGGUGAAUUUUCAACAACUAGCAUAAGUACACACCCGUCACCUAGUGCACAAGGCAUUUAAACAAUGACAAGGAUAUCCUAAGGGGUAAGUCCCCCACACAAAGUUAGGUAAACCACUUAACUCAAUUUGGUAUAAAACCGCUAAGAAACAACGCCCUUGCCACGAGUUUCUGAUUCCGAGUGGCCCAAAUCUAUUCAAACCAAUUAUAUAUUGUAAAUAACAUCGCAAGCAAUUGAUUACACUAUUAAAAGUAAAGCUAAGGCGCGAAAAUAGAUAAAAUGACCAAAAUUCCCCUCAGGCUAGCGUCUCGGAAUCAAAUAAUUUUUAGAUUUUCAGAAACCUCGUACUCUCACGAGUUUAGCCAUAUAAAAAUCUCCCAAAUCGGAGAUUAAAUGCCUCUUCAAAUCAUCAAAGUUAGGUCUAAGAAUAUUACCCCAAAUUUUCAUUCAAAUCCGAAAUUAAAGCUUGAAUUCGAGAUUAGAUUAGCGGGUAAUAAUCAUAAAGGAUAAAGGAAUUGCUACCCAAUGUUUGCCAUUGAAAACUCCUCGAAAAAUCUCCCAAAACUGAUCUCUCUAGCUUGAGUUUUUGUAAAAAUGGAAGAAGGGUUCGUUUUUGAAAUAUAUGAAUUGGUCAGGGAUUUCUUCAUCGCGAACGCAGAGAGGGGGAUCGCGUUCGCGGAGAUGAAAAAUUCAAGAGGAUAAGGUUGCUCUUCGUGAAUGCGAGGAAAGGGCUGCGAACGCGAAGGCUUGGUAUUGGAACCUACGCGAACGCGACAAGGAACACACGAACGCAUAGAAGGGAAAAAGGAGGGGUCCAGGACCGACCCUACGCGAACGGGUUGGGUAAGGACGCGAACGCGAAAGAGAGGGGAGCUAGGCUUCGCGAACGCGUGAAGAAGGAAGCGAACGCGGUGAAUGGAAAAGGGAACGCUUCGGGAACGCAGGGCUUCCUUCACGAACGCGAAGAAGGAUAGCAGACCUGCAAUUUUUCUCCUGCAAUUCUAAACUCCAAAUUGCUCCGUUGAGCAUCCGAAACACACCCGAGGCCCUCGGGACCUCAACUAAACCUACGAAAAUAUCUCAUAACCCCAUCCAAACUCGUACCAAUCCUUGAACCACAUAAAACAACGCCGAAUACUCGAAUUAGUUAAUGAUUUCAACUUAAAAACUUCAAAACUUAACCAAACUCGCUUUCGCUUCAAAACCUAACCAAACACGUCUGAUUCACGUGAAAUUUUGCACACACCUCCCAAAUGAUAUGACGGUGCUACAAAAACUUCCAAAAUCCCGUUCCGGCCCUCGGAUCAAAAUUUCACUAAUGGACUGGAAACUUCAAAAUUCGAACUUUCGGCAUUUAAAGCCUAAAUGAGCUACGGACAUCCAAAAUAUAUUCCGAACACGCUCCCAACCCCGAAAUCACCUAAUAGAGCUAAUGGAACAAUCAAUUUUUCAUUGCGAGGUCGUCUUGACACUAUUCUGAUUACAGACCAAUUUCCAACACUUACGCUCUCAUUUAGGGACUAAGUAUCCCGAAACACUCCGAAUUCUAUUACCGAACAUCCCGGAAAACCAAAAUAGCAGAAAUGAACUUAGAGAAGGCAGUUAAUCGGGAAACGGGGCAUAAAUUCCAAAGACACCGUCCGGGUCGUCACAUCCUCCUACACUUAAACAUUCAUUCGUCCUCGAACGAGCAUAGAGAACAUNNNNNNNNNNNNNNNNNNNNNNNNNNNNNNNNNNNNNNNNNNNNNNNNNNNNNNNNNNNNNNNNNNNNNACUGCAGACGAGCAUAGAGAACAUACCUGAAGUAGCAUAUAGAUGAGGGUAUCGUCUGCGCAUAUCUUGCUCGGUCUCCCAAGUUGCCUCUUUGGCCGGCUGACCCCGCCAGUGCACCUUUACUGAAGCUAUAUCCUUUGACCUGAGCUUUCGAACUUGUCUAUCCAAUAUUGCCACUGGCUCCUCAAGAUUGGACAAGUCAUUAUCCAACUGGACUGAAGUGAACUCCAACACGUGAGACGGUUCACCAUGAUACCUCCGAAGCAUCGAAACAUGAAAUACAGGAUGAACCCCGGCCAAACUGGGAGGUAAAACAAGCUCAUAAGCAACCUUCCCAACUGCUCCUCAACAUAGGACAAGUCAUUGUCCAACUGGACUGAAAAAAACUCCAACACGUGAGACGGGUCACCUGAUACCUCCGAAGCAUCGAAACAUGAAAUACGGGAUGAACCCCAGCAAACUGGGAGGUAAAGCAAGCUCAUAAGCAACCUUCCCAACCUGCUUCAAAAUCUCAAAUGGGUGAACUCUAACAUGUGAGACGGGUCAGCAUGAUAACUUCGAAGCAUCGAAACAUGAAAUACUGGAUGAACCACGGCCAAACUGGGAGGCAAUGCAAGCUCAUGAGAAACUUUCCCAAUCUGCCUCAAAAUCUCAAAUGGGCCAAUGAACCUUAGGCUCAACUUUGCUUUCUUUCCAAACCUCACGACGCCUUUCAUAGGCGAGACCCGAAGCAAAACACGCUCACCAACCAUAAAUGAAACAACACAAACCUUCUGGUCCGCAUAACUCUUCUGCCUGGACUCGACCGCAUGGAAUCUAUCCUGAAUCACCUUAACCUUCUCAACCGCAUCCUAAACCAAGUCAGUGCCCAAUAACCUGGCCUCGCCCGGCUCAAACCAACCCGCCGGGGAUCUGUAUCUCCUACCAUAUAAGGCCUCAUAAGGCACCAUCUGAAUACUGGACUGAUAACUGUUGUAUGCAAACUCGGCCAAUGGCAAGAAUUGAUCCAAGAACUUCUAAACCCAAUCGCGCACGUACGGAGCAUAUCCUAAAGAAUCUAAAUAGUGCGCUUGGACUGUCUGUCCAUCUGAGGGUGAAAAGCUGUACUCAUGGCCACCUGGUAUCCAACUCAUGCUGGUCGGCUCUCUAGAAUCGUGAUGAAAACAUUGAACCCCUGUCUGAGAUGAUGGGAACUGGAACGCCAUGCUGAUGGACAAUCUCCCUGAUAUAAAUCCCUGCUAACCGCUCUGCUGAGUACGAAGUGCACACUGGAAUGAAAUCGGACUUGGUCAGCCGAACCACAACAACCCAAAUAGAAUCAAACUUCCUCGCCAUCAGAGGGAGACCAAUCACAAAAUCCAUGGCGAUAUUCUCCCAUUUCCACUCCAGAAUCUCCAUCUGCUGGAGUAAUCCUCCCGGUCUCUGAUGCUCAGCCUUCACUUGCUGACAGUUGAGGCAUCUAGCUAUGAACUCUACUAUGUCCUUCUUCAUCCGCCUCCACCAGUAAUGCUGCCUCAGAUCCUGAUAUAUCUUCGUGCCACCCGGAUGGAUGGAGUACCGCGAGCUAUGGGCCUUGGUCAAUAUCAACUCCCUAAUAUCAUUGACAUCGGGCACACAAAUACGAUCCUGCAUCCUCAAUAUCCUGUCAUCUCCAAUAGUUGGGUUUUUAAAUUUGACAAAUCCUAUACAAUUGAGCCCAUGGCCCCGGUCGUCUCAAUCUCACCAAAUGAAAUUCAACAAGUUCACAUAGUGACACCCAAUGUCAUUUUGAUCCACUAGAGUUAUUAAGCCACCAGUUUAAUGCCCAAUUAAUCAGUUCAUUACCUAUUAUAACUAAAUGAGUCAACAGUGCCUUGAAAACAAAUAGGCAAGUCAUAGCAUGAAUUCAUUUUUUAAAAACAAAAUGCAACUGAAACUCAACUUUGUUCUUAUCUAAUGGAUCAAUCAUCGUGAGUCCUUUACACCCCUAUAUCAACAUUCUAAUUUGACAUUUGUAUGACUGUUAUUAUUAUUUUAGGCGAUGGCCAUUAAUGUAAGCAAACUAUCACAGUAAGCAUAGAAUUCCACUGAACUGACUAACUAAUGCCAAUACUCAGUUAAUGAUUUGAAUAACUUCUGAACACAAAUCCUCGGACUACGUAAACGGUCUGUAUAAAUGAUAGCUAACACAGUCCAAUUUCAGUCCAGAUUGCACAACAGUCCAUUCGAAUCUAGUUCACAUGAUUACAAAACUAAUUCUAUCAUGUCUGCACUCGAUCACAACCAACGAAUUAAUAAAACAAAUGACAGAAGGCAUUUAGGAUGUAACAGAGGACAUUUAGCAGUAGAAUUAAUCUCAAUUCAUUUCAUGUUCGACUAAAAUCCUAUCAAGACAGAAUUAAACCAAAACUAAACUAAUAACCAAAUGGCCAACCCUUAAACAAAAUUAAGCAAUCAAGAAACCAAUAAUGCUAAACGGACAGAACAAGCAGAGGUUUUAAUCACUUUCAUCACUUUUUAUACUAAGCUGAUUAGAAUAAACAGCGAAUCAAACUUAAAACCUAUAUUAACCAAACAAAACACAACGAACAGAGAUUAACCCUCAAGCAGACGGUCCCGGAAUCAAUCCGGGAUUCCAACUUAAACUAAUGUGAAAGAGAAGAAGAGGAAGAAAUAAACAAAAGGAACUUACCCAGAAGCCUCUAAUGUUUUUCCUCAGAUUCUUAAUUCGAACGAGUCCUAUGGGAAUUGAGCGCCAUUGUCGCUGAAUUCAGCAAGAGGGAAGCCAAGGCAUCAUACGGUGUCAAUUUGGAGCGAUUUAGGGCAGUUAGGGUUUUGGUCGGAAAAAUUCAAAUUGAAAUUCGAACAGUUCCAGCCAAGUUCGAGGAGUAAGUCUUAGGUCAUUGGAAAUAGGGAAUGGAGGAGAUUCACUGAUGUAAAUUUGGGGUGAUUUGGAGAAAGUUGCGACAUGGCCGGAAAAAAACUUCGAUCCAAUAUUCGAAAUUUUGACUUUCAAUCGCAAAAAGAGGAUUAUGGAUCCAGAGAGAGGAGGAGACGGGGAAUCUAGGGUGUAUUUUUGGGUGGGAAGGAAGCCGUCCGCAACGUGGGUGAUUUUCGGCGGCGGAGCCGGUGAAGUAAAGAGAUACGAGGAAGAUGAUCCUUGUCUGUUAGGGAUGAACGAUUUUAGGACAGUCUUAUUUGAUUAACGAAAUAACAUCAGGGCUAUUGGAUCAUGGAGAUGGAUGGCCAGGAUUGAAAUGGGUCAUUUGGUUCUAGGGAGGGGGAUGGACCGGACAUUAUGGGAUUUG
rnacentral:lncRNA from 1 species